CCCCAGGCGCACCCAGAAACCCUUUGUGAACUUAUACCUUUUGUUGCCUCGGCGCAUGCUGGCCUCUAGUAGGCCCCUCACCCCGGUGAGGAGAAGGCACGCCGGCGGCCAAGUUAACUCUUGUUUUUACACUGAAACUCUGAGAAAAAACACAAAUGAAUCAAAACUUUCAACAACGGAUCUCUUGGUUCUGGCAUCGAUGAAGAACGCAGCGAAAUGCGAUAAGUAAUGUGAAUUGCAGAAUUCAGUGAAUCAUCGAAUCUUUGAACGCACAUUGCGCCCUCUGGUAUUCCGGAGGGCAUGCCUGUUCGAGCGUCAUUUCAACCCUCAAGCAUUGCUUGGUGUUGGGGCACUGCUUCUAACGAAGCAGGCCCUGAAAUCUAGUGGCGAGCUCGCCAGGACCCCGAGCGUAGUAGUUAAACCCUCGCUCUGGAAGGCCCUGGCGGUGCCCUGCCGUUAAACCCCCAACUUUUGAAAAUUUGACCUCGGAUCAGGUAGGAAUACCCGCUGAACUUAAGCAUAUCAAUAA
rnacentral:rRNA from 1 species